UNCUGGGCGUAAGAGUACGUAGGCGGUUCGCCNAGUCAGAUGUGAAAUCCCGGAGCUCAACUCCGGAACUGCAUUUGAAACUGGCAGACUAGAGGAAGAUAGAGGCAAGUGGAAUUUCUUGUGUAGGGGUGAAAUCCGUAGAUAUAAGAAGGAAUAUCAAUAGCGAAGGCAGCUUGCUGGGUCUUAUCUGACGCUGAGGUACGAAAGCGUGGGUAGCAAACAGGAUUAGAUACCCUGGUAGUCCACGCCGUAAACGAUGGGUGCUAGACGUUGGCCUUAAGGUCGGUGUCGUAGUUAACGCGUUAAGCACCCCGCCUGGGGAGUACGGUCGCAAGAUUAAAACUCAAAGGAAUUGACGGGGACCCGCACAAGCGGUGGAGCAUGUGGUUUAAUUCGAGGCAACGCGAAGAACCUUACCAGGGCUUGACAUCCUGAUCGCGGAUUAGAGAGAUCUUUUCCUUCAGUUCGGCUGGAUCAGUGACAGGUGCUGCAUGGCUGUCGUCAGCUCGUGUCGUGAGAUGUUGGGUUAAGUCCCGCAACGAGCGCAACCCUCAUCCUGUGUUACCAGCGGUUCGGCCGGGGACUCUCAGGAAACUGCCCGUGACAAGCGGGAGGAAGGCGGGGAUGACGUCAAGUCAGCACGGCCCUUACGUCCUGGGCCACACACGUGCUACAAUGGUAGUGACAGCGCGCUGCAACCUCGCGAGGGGGAGCUAAUCGCAAAAAACUAUCUCAGUUCGGAUUGUACUCUGCAACUCGAGUGCAUGAAGUUGGAAUCGCUAGUAAUCGUAGGUCAGCAUACUACGGUGAAUACGUUCCCGGGUCUUGUACACACCGCCCGUCACACCAUGGGAGUUGGUAUUACCUGAAGCCGUUAGCCUAAUCUGGGCGGCGUCCACGGUAGGAUCAGCGACUGGGGUGAAGUCGUAACAAGGUAACCAUCUUGCU
rnacentral:rRNA from 1 species